rnacentral:rRNA from 1 species
UACGAAGGGGGCUAGCGUUGUUCGGAAUUACUGGGCGUAAAGGGCGCGUAGGUGGUUUAUCAAGUCAGGCGUGAAAGCCCUGGGCUCAACCCGGGAAUUGCGCUUGAUACUGAUAGGCUUGAGUUUGAGAGAGGUAAGCGGAAUUCCCAGUGUAGAGGUGAAAUUCGUAGAUAUUGGGAAGAACACCGGUGGCGAAGGCGACUUACUGGAUCAACACUGACACUGAGGCGCGAAAGCGUGGGGAUCAAAC